AGUACGAGGAGCGUCCUUGCGC
rnacentral:misc_RNA from 1 species